rnacentral:rRNA from 1 species
GAUGAACGCUGGCGGCGUGCCUAAUACAUGCAAGUCGAGCGAACAGACAGGAGCUUGCUCCUCUGACGUUAGCGGCGGACGGGUGAGUAACCCGUGGAUAACCUACCUAUAAGACUGGGAUAACUUCGGGAAACCGGAGCUAAUACCGGAUAAUAUAUUGAACCGCAUGGUUCAAUAGUGAAAGACGGUUUUGCUGUCACUUAUAGAUGGAUCCGCGCCGCAUUAGCUAGUUGGUAAGGUAACGGCUUACCAAGGCAACGAUGCGUAGCCGACCUGAGAGGGUGAUCGGCCACACUGGAACUGAGACACGGUCCAGACUCCUACGGGAGGCAGCAGUAGGGAAUCUUCCGCAAUGGGCGAAAGCCUGACGGAGCAACGCCGCGUGAGUGAUGAAGGUCUUCGGAUCGUAAAACUCUGUUAUUAGGGAAGAACAAAUGUGUAAGUAACUAUGCACGUCUUGACGGUACCUAAUCAGAAAGCCACGGCUAACUACGUG